rnacentral:piRNA from 1 species
AAACUUUGCCCAACUUUGGCCC